rnacentral:rRNA from 1 species
GUGACCGAUAGUGAACCAGUACCGUGAGGGAAAGGUGAAAAGAACCCCGGGAGGGGAGUGAAAUAGAACCUGAAACCAUAUGCUUACAAGAAGUUAGAGCCCGUUAAAGGGUGAUAGCGUGCCUUUUGUAGAAUGAACCGGCGAGUUACGAUAUGGAGCGAGGUUAAGCAGGAUAUGCGGAGCCGAAGCGAAAGCGAGUCUUAAUAGGGCGAAAGUUGCAUGUCGUAGACCCGAAACCGAGUGAUCUAGCCAUGACCAGGUUGAAGUUGGGGUAAAACCCGAUGGAGGACCGAACCGACCCCCGUUGAAACGUUGGCGGAUGAGUUGUGGCUAGGGGUGAAAUUCCAAUCGAACUCGGAGAUAGCUGGUUCUCCCCGAAAUAGCUUUAGGGCUAGCGUCGAGGUAAAGUCGUGUGAAGGUAGAGCACUGAAUAUGUGAUGGCCCCAUCUCGGGGUACUGAACAUAAUCAAACUCCGAAUGUCACAAAGAUAUACUCGGCAGUCAGACAGUGGGUGAUAAGGUCCAUUGUCAAAAGGGAAACAGCCCAGACCAUCAGCUAAGGUCCCAAAAUAUAUACUAAGUGGAAAAGGAUGUGGAGAUGUCCAGACAACUAGGAGGUUGGCUCAGAAGCAGCCAUCCUUUAAAGAGUGCGUAACAGCUCACUAGUCGAAUGACUCUGCGCCGAUAAUUUACCGGGGCUAAGUAUAUUACCGAAGCUAUGGAUUUACGCGUAAGCGUGAGUGGUAGGGGAGCGUUCUAUGUGCGGAGAAGCGGUACCGUAAGGAGCCGUGGAGCGCAUAGAAGAGAGAAUGCCGGUGUGAGUAGCGAAACGUGGGUGAGAAUCCCACGCACCGAAAACCCAAGGUUUCCAGAGGAAGGUUCGUCCGCUCUGGGUAAGUCGGGACCUAAGGCGAGGCCGAGAGGCGUAGUCGAUGGACAACAGGUAGAGAUUCCUGUACUUACGGUAUGAAUGAUGGAGUGACGGAGAAGGCUAGCGGAUCCUGCUGAUGGAAAUGCAGGUGCAAGCGAGGUAGCCGACAGCCAGGCAAAUCCGGCUGUCGAAAGGCAAAGGCGUGAGGCGUAUGGAAAGCUGCGGCAAGUACAGAAGUCCGUGAAGCCAGCUUCCAAGAAAAGCUUCUAGUGAUAAUCAUACAGUAACCCGUACCGAAAAUGGACACACAUGGGUGAGGAGAGAAUCCUAAGGUGAGCGAGAGAACUAUAGCUAAGGAACUCUGCAAAAUGACUCCGUAACUUAGGGAUAAGGAGUGCUCAUAGAGAUAUGAGCCGCAGUGAAACGGCCCAAGCGACUGUUUACCAAAAACACAGCUCUAUGCUAAGUCGAAAGACGACGUAUAUGGGGUGACGCCUGCCCGGUGCUGGAAGGUUAAGAGGAUGUGUCAGCGCAAGCGAAGCAUUGAAUUGAAGCCCCAGUAAACGGCGGCCGUAACUAUAACGGUCCUAAGGUAGCGAAAUUCCUUGUCAGGUAAGUUCUGACCCGCACGAAAGGCGUAACGAUUUGGGCGCUGUCUCAGCUGUAGACUCGGUGAAGUCUUAGUACCUGUGAAGAUGCAGGUUACCCGCGACUAGACGGAAAGACCCCAUGGAGCUUUACUGUAGCUUGAUAUUGGACUUUGAUGCAAGAUGUACAGGAUAGGUAGGAGACUGAGAGACAUGCACGCCAGUGUGUGAGGAGUCAAUGUUGGGAUACUACUCUUCUUGUAUUGGAGUUCUAACCGGAUGCCAUGGAACUGGCAACGGGACAGUGUCAGGUGGGCAGUUUGACUGGGGCGGUCGCCUCCCAAAGAGUAACGGAGGCGCCCAAAGAUACCCUCAGCUUGGAUGGAAAUCAAGCGCAGAGUGCAAAGGCAUAAGGGUGUUUGACUGCGAGACCUACAAGUCGAGCAGGGACGAAAGUCGGGCUUAGUGAUCCGGCGGUGCUGAAUGGAAAGGCCGUCGCUCAACGGAUAAAAGCUACCCUGGGGAUAACAGGCUGAUCUCCCCCAAGAGUUCACAUCGACGGGGAGGUUUGGCACCUCGAUGUCGGCUCAUCGCAUCCUGGAGCUGAAGUCGGUUCCAAGGGUUGGGCUGUUCGCCCAUUAAAGCGGUA